GGUUAAGCGACUAAGCGUACACGGUGGAUGCCCUGGCAGUCAGAGGCGAUGAAGGACGUGCUAAUCUGCGAUAAGCGUCGGUAAGGUGAUAUGAACCGUUAUAACCGGCGAUUUCCGAAUGGGGAAACCCAGUGUGAUUCGUCACACUAUCAUUAACUGAAUCCAUAGGUUAAUGAGGCGAACCGGGGGAACUGAAACAUCUAAGUACCCCGAGGAAAAGAAAUCAACCGAGAUUCCCCCAGUAGCGGCGAGCGAACGGGGAGCAGCCCAGAGCCUGAAUCAGUGUGUGUGUUAGUGGAAGCGUCUGGAAAGGCGCGCGAUACAGGGUGACAGCCCCGUACACAAAAAUGCACAUGCUGUGAGCUCGAUGAGUAGGGCGGGACACGUGGUAUCCUGUCUGAAUAUGGGGGGACCAUCCUCCAAGGCUAAAUACUCCUGACUGACCGAUAGUGAACCAGUACCGUGAGGGAAAGGCGAAAAGAACCCCGGCGAGGGGAGUGAAAAAGAACCUGAAACCGUGUACGUACAAGCAGUGGGAGCACGCUUAGGCGUGUGACUGCGUACCUUUUGUAUAAUGGGUCAGCGACUUAUAUUCUGUAGCAAGGUUAACCGAAUAGGGGAGCCGAAGGGAAACCGAGUCUUAACUGGGCGUUAAGUUGCAGGGUAUAGACCCGAAACCCGGUGAUCUAGCCAUGGGCAGGUUGAAGGUUGGGUAACACUAACUGGAGGACCGAACCGACUAAUGUUGAAAAAUUAGCGGAUGACUUGUGGCUGGGGGUGAAAGGCCAAUCAAACCGGGAGAUAGCUGGUUCUCCCCGAAAGCUAUUUAGGUAGCGCCUCGUGAAUUCAUCUCCGGGGGUAGAGCACUGUUUCGGCAAGGGGGUCAUCCCGACUUACCAACCCGAUGCAAACUGCGAAUACCGGAGAAUGUUAUCACGGGAGACACACGGCGGGUGCUAACGUCCGUCGUGAAGAGGGAAACAACCCAGACCGCCAGCUAAGGUCCCAAAGUCAUGGUUAAGUGGGAAACGAUGUGGGAAGGCCCAGACAGCCAGGAUGUUGGCUUAGAAGCAGCCAUCAUUUAAAGAAAGCGUAAUAGCUCACUGGUCGAGUCGGCCUGCGCGGAAGAUGUAACGGGGCUAAACCAUGCACCGAAGCUGCGGCAGCGACACUGUGUGUUGUUGGGUAGGGGAGCGUUCUGUAAGCCUGCGAAGGUGUGCUGUGAGGCAUGCUGGAGGUAUCAGAAGUGCGAAUGCUGACAUAAGUAACGAUAAAGCGGGUGAAAAGCCCGCUCGCCGGAAGACCAAGGGUUCCUGUCCAACGUUAAUCGGGGCAGGGUGAGUCGACCCCUAAGGCGAGGCCGAAAGGCGUAGUCGAUGGGAAACAGGUUAAUAUUCCUGUACUUGGUGUUACUGCGAAGGGGGGACGGAGAAGGCUAUGUUGGCCGGGCGACGGUUGUCCCGGUUUAAGCGUGUAGGCUGGUUUUCCAGGCAAAUCCGGAAAAUCAAGGCUGAGGCGUGAUGACGAGGCACUACGGUGCUGAAGCAACAAAUGCCCUGCUUCCAGGAAAAGCCUCUAAGCAUCAGGUAACAUCAAAUCGUACCCCAAACCGACACAGGUGGUCAGGUAGAGAAUACCAAGGCGCUUGAGAGAACUCGGGUGAAGGAACUAGGCAAAAUGGUGCCGUAACUUCGGGAGAAGGCACGCUGAUACGUAGGUGAAGUCCCUCGCGGAUGGAGCUGAAAUCAGUCGAAGAUACCAGCUGGCUGCAACUGUUUAUUAAAAACACAGCACUGUGCAAACACGAAAGUGGACGUAUACGGUGUGACGCCUGCCCGGUGCCGGAAGGUUAAUUGAUGGGGUCAGCGCAAGCGAAGCUCUUGAUCGAAGCCCCGGUAAACGGCGGCCGUAACUAUAACGGUCCUAAGGUAGCGAAAUUCCUUGUCGGGUAAGUUCCGACCUGCACGAAUGGCGUAAUGAUGGCCAGGCUGUCUCCACCCGAGACUCAGUGAAAUUGAACUCGCUGUGAAGAUGCAGUGUACCCGCGGCAAGACGGAAAGACCCCGUGAACCUUUACUAUAGCUUGACACUGAACAUUGAGCCUUGAUGUGUAGGAUAGGUGGGAGGCUUUGAAGUGUGGACGCCAGUCUGCAUGGAGCCGACCUUGAAAUACCACCCUUUAAUGUUUGAUGUUCUAACGUUGACCCGUAAUCCGGGUUGCGGACAGUGUCUGGUGGGUAGUUUGACUGGGGCGGUCUCCUCCUAAAGAGUAACGGAGGAGCACGAAGGUUGGCUAAUCCUGGUCGGACAUCAGGAGGUUAGUGCAAUGGCAUAAGCCAGCUUGACUGCGAGCGUGACGGCGCGAGCAGGUGCGAAAGCAGGUCAUAGUGAUCCGGUGGUUCUGAAUGGAAGGGCCAUCGCUCAACGGAUAAAAGGUACUCCGGGGAUAACAGGCUGAUACCGCCCAAGAGUUCAUAUCGACGGCGGUGUUUGGCACCUCGAUGUCGGCUCAUCACAUCCUGGGGCUGAAGUAGGUCCCAAGGGUAUGGCUGUUCGCCAUUUAAAGUGGUACGCGAGCUGGGUUUAGAACGUCGUGAGACAGUUCGGUCCCUAUCUGCCGUGGGCGCUGGAGAACUGAGGGGGGCUGCUCCUAGUACGAGAGGACCGGAGUGGACGCAUCACUGGUGUUCGGGUUGUCAUGCCAAUGGCACUGCCCGGUAGCUAAAUGCGGAAGAGAUAAGUGCUGAAAGCAUCUAAGCACGAAACUUGCC
rnacentral:rRNA from 1 species